rnacentral:rRNA from 1 species
GACGAACGCUGGCGGCGUGCCUUAUACAUGCCAGUCGAACGCAUUUUCUUUCACCGUAGCUUGCUACACCGAAAGAAAAUGAGUGGCGAACGGGUGAGUAACACGUGGGUAACCUGCCCAUCAGCGGGGGAUAACACUUGGAAACAGGUGCUAAUACCGCAUAAUUCCAUUUACCGCAUGGUAGAUGGGUGAAAGGCGCUUUUGCGUCACUGAUGGAUGGACCCGCGGUGCAUUAGCUAGUUGGUGGGGUAACGGCCUACCAAGGCUGCGAUGCAUAGCCGACCUGAGAGGGUGAUCGGCCACACUGGGACUGAGACACGGCCCAGACUCCUACGGGAGGCAGCAGUAGGGAAUCUUCGGCAAUGGACGCAAGUCUGACCGAGCAACGCCGCGUGAGUGAAGGAGGUUUUCGGAUCGUAAAACUCUGUUGUUAGAGAAGAACAAGGAUGGGAGUGGAAAGUUCAUCCCUUGACGGUAUCUAACCAGAAAGCCACGGCUAACUACGUG